GACGAACGCUGGCGGCGUGCCUAAUACAUGCAAGUUGAGCGCUGAAGGUUGGUACUUGUACCAACUGGAUGAGCAGCGAUCGGGUGAGUAACGCGUGGGGAAUCUGCCUUUGAGCGGGGGACAACAUUUGGAAACGAGUGCUAAUACCGCAUAAAAACUUUAAACACAAGUUUUAAGUUUGAAAGAUGCAAUUGCAUCACUCAAAGAUGAUCCCGCGUUGUAUUAGCUAGUUGGUGAGGUAAAGGCUCACCAAGGCGAUGAUACAUAGCCGACCUGAGAGGGUGAUCGGCCACAUUGGGACUGAGACACGGCCCAAACUCCUACGGGAGGCAGCAGUAGGGAAUCUUCGGCAAUGGACGAAAGUCUGACCGAGCAACGCCGCGUGAGUGAAGAAGGUUUUCGGAUCGUAAAACUCUGUUGGUAGAGAAGAACGUUGGUGAGAGUGGAAAGCUCAUCAAGUGACGGUAACUACCCAGAAAGGGACGGCUAACUACGCG
rnacentral:rRNA from 1 species